UACGUAGGGUGCAAGCGUUGUCCGGAAUUAUUGGGCGUAAAGAGCUUGUAGGCGGUUUGUCGCGUCUGCUGUGAAAUUUCGGGGCUCAACCCCGAACUUGCAGUGGGUACGGGCAGACUAGAGUGUGGUAGGGGGACGCGGAAUUCCCGGUGUAGUGGUGGAAUGCGUAGAUAUCGGGAGGAACACCAGUGGCGAAGGCGGCGUCCUGGACCGGUGCUGACGCUGAGGAGCGAAAGCGUGGGGAGCGAGUCCGG
rnacentral:rRNA from 1 species